rnacentral:rRNA from 1 species
GUCGAGCGGAUGACAGGAGCUUGCUCCUGAAUUCAGCGGCGGACGGGUGAGUAAUGCCUAGGAAUCUGCCUGGUAGUGGGGGACAACGUUUCGAAAGGAACGCUAAUACCGCAUACGUCCUACGGGAGAAAGCAGGGGACCUUCGGGCCUUGCGCUAUCAGAUGAGCCUAGGUCGGAUUAGCUAGUUGGUGAGGUAAUGGCUCACCAAGGCGACGAUCCGUAACUGGUCUGAGAGGAUGAUCAGUCACACUGGAACUGAGACACGGUCCAGACUCCUACGGGAGGCAGCAGUGGGGAAUAUUGGACAAUGGGCGAAAGCCUGAUCCAGCCAUGCCGCGUGUGUGAAGAAGGUCUUCGGAUUGUAAAGCACUUUAAGUUGGGAGGAAGGGCAGUAACCUAAUACGUUGCCGUCUUGACGUUACCGACAGAAUAAGCACCGGCUAACUCUGUGCCAGCAGCCGCGGUAAUACAGAGGGUGCAAGCGUUAAUCGGAAUUACUGGGCGUAAAGCGCGCGUAG